rnacentral:rRNA from 1 species
GACGAACGCUGGCCUUUUGCUUAACACAUGCAAGUCGAACGGAAAGGCCCUGCUUUUGUGGGGUGCUCGAGUGGCGAACGGGUGAGUAACACGUGAGUAACCUGCCCUUGACUUUGGGAUAACUUCAGGAAACUGGGGCUAAUACCGGAUAGGAGCUCCUGCUGCAUGGUGGGGGUUGGAAAGUUUCGGCGGUUGGGGAUGGACUCGCGGCUUAUCAGCUUGUUGGUGGGGUAGUGGCUUACCAAGGCUUUGACGGGUAGCCGGCCUGAGAGGGUGACCGGCCACAUUGGGACUGAGAUACGGCCCAGACUCCUACGGGAGGCAGCAGUGGGGAAUAUUGCACAAUGGGCGGAAGCCUGAUGCAGCAACGCCGCGUGCGGGAUGACGGCCUUCGGGUUGUAAACCGCUUUCGCCUGUGACGAAGCGUGAGUGACGGUAAUGGGUAAAGAAGCACCGGCUAACUACGUGCCAGCAGCCGCGGUGAUACGUAGGGUGCGAGCGUUGUCCGGAUUUAUUGGGCGUAAAGGGCUCGUAGGUGGUUGAUCGCGUCGGAAGUGUAAUCUUGGGGCUUAACCCUGAGCGUGCUUUCGAUACGGGUUGACUUGAGGAAGGUAGGGGAGAAUGGAAUUCCUGGUGGAGCGGUGGAAUGCGCAGAUAUCAGGAGGAACACCAGUGGCGAAGGCGGUUCUCUGGGCCUUUCCUGACGCUGAGGAGCGAAAGCGUGGGGAGCGAACAGGCUUAGAUACCCUGGUAGUCCACGCUGUAAACGGUGGGUACUAGGUGUGGGGUCCAUUCCACGGGUUCCGUGCCGUAGCUAACGCUUUAAGUACCCCGCCUGGGGAGUACGGCCGCAAGGCUAAAACUCAAAGGAAUUGACGGGGCCCCGCACAAGCGGCGGAGCAUGCGGAUUAAUUCGAUGCAACGCGUAGAACCUUACCUGGGUUUGACAUGGAUCGGGAGUGCUCAGAGAUGGGUGUGCCUCUUUUGGGGUCGGUUCACAGGUGGUGCAUGGCUGUCGUCAGCUCGUGUCGUGAGAUGUUGGGUUAAGUCCCGCAACGAGCGCAACCCUUGUUCACUGUUGCCAGCACGUUAUGGUGGGGACUCAGUGGAGACCGCCGGGGUCAACUCGGAGGAAGGUGGGGAUGACGUCAAGUCAUCAUGCCCCUUAUGUCCAGGGCUUCACGCAUGCUACAAUGGCUGGUACAGAGAGUGGCGAGCCUGUGAGGGUGAGCGAAUCUCGGAAAGCCGGUCUCAGUUCGGAUUGGGGUCUGCAACUCGACCUCAUGAAGUCGGAGUCGCUAGUAAUCGCAGAUCAGCAACGCUGCGGUGAAUACGUUCCCGGGGCU